rnacentral:rRNA from 1 species
UUUGCUGGCGACCGGCGCACGGGUGAGUAACACGUAUCCAACCUGCCCUUUACUCGGGGAUAGCCUUUCGAAAGAAAGAUUAAUACCCGAUAGCAUAAUGAUUCCGCAUGGUUUCAUUAUUAAAGGAUUCCGGUAAAGGAUGGGGAUGCGUUCCAUUAGGUUGUUGGUGAGGUAACGGCUCACCAAGCCUUCGAUGGAUAGGGGUUCUGAGAGGAAGGUCCCCCACAUUGGAACUGAGACACGGUCCAAACUCCUACGGGAGGCAGCAUG